rnacentral:rRNA from 1 species
AUUGAACGCUGGCGGCAGGCCUAACACAUGCAAGUCGAACGAGUGGCGGACGGGUGAGUAAUGUCUGGGAAACUGCCUGAUGGAGGGGGAUAACUACUGGAAACGGUAGCUAAUACCGCAUACCAUCGGAUUGGCCCAGAUGGGUUUUGCUAGUAGGUGGGGUAACGGCUCACCGAGGCGAAGAUCCCUAGUUGGUCUACGAGGAUGACCGGCCACACUGGAACUGAGACACGGUCAAUGUGCCUAGGGGAGGCAGCAGUGGGGAAUAUGGCACAAUGGGCGAAAGCCUGAUGCAGCCAUGCCGCGUGUGUGAAGAAGGCCUUCGGGUUGUAAAGCACUUUCAGCGGGGAGGCGUUACCCGCAGAAGAAGCACCGGCUAACUCCGUGCCAGCAGCCGCGGUAAUUC